CCUGAGAGAAAGAGGCAGAGGUUUCAGAGAAACAGGAGGAGAUUGAAGAGAGAGAAAUGGGUGUUUUAGAGAGAGAAAGGAUUAAGGAGCGAAUGAGGGGCUUCUGGAGAAGCAUGGUUCUAGAGAGAGAAGAAGAAGGAGGCAGAGAGUGAUGACAGUGGUAGUGUGGCGCCCAUGUCUGCAGUUCCGCGGCUUCCUUUUAAGGGCGGGUUUGAUAACCGGAAGGUAAAUGUUCCUUGGAAAUUGGAAUUUCUUCUUUGCUAAGAAAGAAAAAGUUACUGUAUAACCUGCUGGAAUGUUAAAGAAGUUUUGGGUAACGUUAAAGAAGUUAUGGGUAUCUGUCUUGGACAAUCUGGUGGAAUAUAAAGAAGUUCUAAACUACAUAACAGGCCUUACACUGUAGUCUACACAGACAAAAUAACGAUGUAAUCUACACAAACAAAAUACUCUUUAAUCAGUAACAUAACAGGCCUUACUCUGUAGUCUACACACACAGAC
rnacentral:lncRNA from 1 species